rnacentral:rRNA from 1 species
UACGUAGGUGGCAAGCGUUGUCCGGAUUUACUGGGCGUAAAGAGCGCGCAGGCGGUCGUCCAAGUCGCGUGUGAAAGCCCCCGGCUCAACUGGGGAGGGUCACGCGAUACUGGUCGACUCGAAGGCAGGAGAGGGUAGUGGAAUUCCUGGUGUAGCGGUGAAAUGCGCAGAUAUCAGGAAGAACACCCGUGGCUAAGGCGGUUCUCUAGUACGGUACUGACGCUGAGACGCGAAAGCGUGGGGAGCGAACAGG